UCUUGGUCAUUUAGAGGAAGUAAAAGUCGUAUCAAGGUCUCCGUAGGUGAACCUGCGGAGGGAUCACUACCGAGUGUGGCGCUCCGGCGCCUCCCUCCAACCCCAUGUCGAAACGACUCUGUUGCCUCGGGGGCGACCCGGCCUUCGGGCGUCGGGGCCCCCGGCGGACACCUUCAUAACUCUUGCAUCUCUUGCGUCUGAGUGAUACAUAUAAUCAAUCAAAACUUUCAACAACGGAUCUCUUGGUUCUGGCAUCGAUGAAGAACGCAGCGAAAUGCGAUAAGUAAUGUGAAUUGCAGAAUUCAGUGAAUCAUCGAAUCUUUGAACGCACAUUGCGCCCCCUGGCAUUCCGGGGGGCAUGCCUGUUCGAGCGUCAUUACACCACUCAAGCCUGGCUUGGUAUUGAGCGACCGCGGCCUGCCCGCGCGCUCCAAUGUCUCCGGCUGAGCCGUCCGUCUCUAAGCGUUGUGAAUAGCGAUCGCUUGCGAGGCCCGGGCGGUUCGACGCCGUUAAACCCCCCCAUUUUCUAUGGUUGACCUCGGAUCAGGUAGGGAUACCCGCUGAACUUUAAGCAUAUCAAUAAGCGGAGGAA
rnacentral:rRNA from 1 species